UACGUAGGUGGCAAGCGUUGUCCGGAAUUAUUGGGCGUAAAGCGCGCGCAGGCGGUCCUUUAAGUCUGAUGUGAAAGCCCACGGCUCAACCGUGGAGGGUCAUUGGAAACUGGGGGACUUGAGUGCAGGAGAGAAGAGUGGAAUUCCACGUGUAGCGGUGAAAUGCGUAGAGAUGUGGAGGAACACCAGUGGCGAAGGCGGCCAUCUGGACGGAUACUGACGCUGAGACGCGAAAGCGUGGGGAGCAAACAGG
rnacentral:rRNA from 1 species